ensembl:lncRNA
AGGAAACGGGGCUUUGAGAGCUAUCAGUAGAUAUUUCUUAAACGCGAUAACAGAAAGUACUAUCUUUUAUGUUACUCCCUUGCUCGUUGAAAGUGGUCCCGACACGAUAAGAAGCAACAUGGGCUCUCCUAACCAGACCUGUGACAGUGGUGUACCCAUGGACCUCUUCUUACACUAUUCUCUCGUUCCGUCGGUAAGGGGUCUCUGUGUCCCCAUACAGUACGUUAACAUCCAGGUGACACUUUACUUGACACCUAGCGUCAUAACACGUUAUGAUACAGUCAUAACCAUGUCACAAUAUGUCAUGACAGCUGACAUAACUUGUCAUAACCUGUCAUAAUAUGAUCACCACACUGUCAUGACCCAUAUAUUUACCCCUGUUGUGACAUAUAUUGCGUUACUUUGUGGCUGAUUGUGACACCUACAUAAGAGUGUCAAAACCCACAUUUAUUCAAAUGUGAUUUUUCCCUGCAAAGAAGUUUCCUUUCGUUUGAAAGUUUGCUUCUUAUCCUUUGUUGUGGUAUUGAAUUCCUUUAAAGUGAUGUUUUCACACUUCACGACACUGUUAAGAAGCAUUAUGACCAUCCUGUGUCACUUUACUUGGACUAAGAAAAUACACUUUAUGACACUGUCAAGAAGCAUUAUGACCAGUAUGAUCAGAAUCAUGUAAGCCAGAUAGGUACAUGCCCUUAUGUCAGUCAUCAGUCAAAAAGAGGGUGUCUUGUCCUGCUCCUGAAAUCUGCUCCUGCAUUCAUCCCAGUCAACAGAGCAUUGGGGUUACAGCACUUGGAUCGGGAUGAUUUUCACAGACCACUACCACAACAACCCUGUCAUGGUGUGUUUCUGCCAUCUUCUCCUGGAGAGACAACAGAGGACCACAGAGGCAGAAUCGUACUCCACGUUCCACAACACACCUUCGCCAGAUUCAGCCCGUGGAAGCAGGGCCAGGCGGUGAUGGAUGCUCCUCUACACCCUGAUGAAGAACCCACGACUGAUCCUCCUGAGGAAGAACAGGACCUCCUCCAGUCCCACUCACCAGGACACUGUUGUCCAAGCCUGGCUGCUGGCCUCUCAGACCGAACAGAUGGGACAGGCACCAGAGACGACAGCCACAGCCGUUACAUCAGAUCAGACGACGGCCAAUGGGCAGGCAUUAACUGACUGAUUCUGCUCAUGGCUUAUACAUGCGCAGCCUGAAAUAGUGUAGUACAAUAAUGUGACAUAACAUUUAGUAGGCCUACACACAUUUCGAGGACACCUUUUUGGCUCAUGGGUGCUACAUUUGAUACUACAGGCCAAGCUCUUACAAUGCAUUGUUUUGUAUGUGAUGAAUCAUGGGAAAUGGGGAUAACAACUGAAAUGUGUCUUCUGCAUUUAACCCAACCCCUCUGAAUCAGAGAGGUGCCGGGGGCUGGCUUAAUUGACAUCUACAUCUUUGGCACCCAGAGAACAGUGGGUUAACUGCCUUGCUUAGGGGCAGAACAACAGAUUCUUACCUUGUCAGCUCGGGGAUUCUAUCCAGCAAACUUUUGGUUACUGGGCCAAUGUUCUAACCAUUAGGCUAAUAUGAUUAAUGCAUUAUAAAUUCGGAAAUACCUACAUAAUUACUCCUACUGGGAAAAAUGAUAGGACAAAUUGGACAUAGUUAUGCUUUUUACCUCAUAACGGUCCAUUUGUUUUUACUAGGCCACGUAGCCACAGGAAGUAGAGGUGCUGAGGGUGUUGCAGCACUCUAAAAAAUCUGAAUAAAAAAUAUACAGUACCAGUCAAAAGUUUGGACACACCUACUCCAACCUCGGCCAACAGCUCCGCCCCCCCGGCAGCUCCUCGCCCAAGCCUCUCCAGGUUCUCCUUUACCCAAAUCCAGAUAGCAGAUGUUCUGAAAGAGCUGCAAAACCUGGACCCGUACAAAUCAGCUGGGCUUGACAAUCUGGACCCCCUAUUUCUGAAACUUUGCGCCGCCAUUGUCGCAACCCCUAUUACCAGCCUGUUCAACCUCUCUUUCAAAUCGUCUGAGAUCCCCAAGGAUUGGAAAGCUGCCGCAGUCAUCCCCCUCUUCAAAGGGGGAGACACCCUGGACCCAAACUGUUACAGAUCUA